AGUGAACGCUGGCGGUAGGCCUAACACAUGUAAGUCGAACGGCAGCACAGUAAGAGCUUGAUCUUAAGGGUGGAGAGUGGAGGAAGGGUGAGGAAUAUAUAGGAAUUUACUUUUUUGUGGGGGAUAAUGUAGGGAAACUUACGCUAAUGCCGCAUACGACCUACGGGUGAAAGCAGGGGAUCUUCGGACCUUGCGCGAUUGAAUGAGCCGAUGUCGGAUUAGCUAGUUGGCGGGGUAAAGGCCCACCAAGGCGACGAUCCGUAGCUGGUCUGAGAGGAUGAUCAGCCACACUGGAACUGAGACACGGUCCAGACUCCUACGGGAGGCAGCAGUGGGGAAUAUUGGACAAUGGGCGCAAGCCUGAUCCAGCCAUACCGCGUGGGUGAAGAAGGCCUUCGGGUUGUAAAGCCCUUUUAUUAAGAAAGAAAAGCAGCAGGUUAAUACCCCGCUGUUCUGACGGUACCCAAAGAAUAAGCACCGGCUAACUUCGUG
rnacentral:rRNA from 1 species